UGUCUGAUUGGUCUUGGUACUGCAAUGAUUGAAUAUGUAGUAGCAAAUCUAACAGGCGCA
rnacentral:pre_miRNA from 1 species